AAUGGCCAGUGUUUUCAACUUAU
rnacentral:siRNA from 1 species